ACGGGAGGCAGCAGUGAGGAAUAUUGGUCAAUGGGCGAGAGCCUGAACCAGCCAAGUAGCGUGAAGGAUGACUGCCCUAUGGGUUGUAAACUUCUUUUAUACGGGAAUAAAGUGAGCCACGUGUGGCUUUUUGUAUGUACCGUACGAAUAAGCAUCGGCUAAUUCCGUGCCAGCAGCCGCGGUAAUACGGAAGAUGCGAGCGUUAUCCGGAUUUAUUGGGUUUAAAGGGAGCGUAGGCGGCCUUUUAAGUCAGCGGUUAAAUGUCAGCGCCCAACGUUGGCAUGCCGUUGAAACUGGAGGGCUUGAAUACACACAAGGUAAGUGGAAUUCGUCGUGUAGCGGUGAAAUGCUUAGAUAUGACGAAGAACUCCGAUUGCGAAGGCAGCUUACUGGGGUGCGAUUGACGCUGAGGCUCGAAAGUGUGGGAAUCAAACAGGAUUAGAUACCCUGGUA
rnacentral:rRNA from 1 species